UGCCUAACACACGCAAGUCGCACGCGAAAGGGGGCAACCCCGAGUAGAGUGGCGGACGGGUGAGAAAUGCUUGGGAAUCUACCUCGUAGUGGGGGACAACCUAGGGAAACUUAGGCUAAUACCGCAUACGACCUACGGGAGAAAGCGGAGGACCGCAAGGCUUCGCGCUAUGAGAUGAGCCCAAGUCCGAUUAGCUAGUUGGUGAGGUAAAGGCUCACCAAGGCAACGAUCGGUAGCUGGUCUGAGAGGACGACCAGCCACACUGGGACUGAGACACGGCCCAGACUCCUACGGGAGGCAGCAGUGGGGAAUAUUGGACAAUGGGGGCAACCCUGAUCCAGCGACGCCGCGUGGGUGAAGAAGGCCUUCGGGUUGUAAAGCCC
rnacentral:rRNA from 1 species